ACGGCAUGCAAUAAAAUUUAUGUCACAGUUAUUUACAAAAAUGUUUAACUAUUAGUUUUAUUGAGUUUACAGUACAAACACAAUUUUAUAAUAACAGCAAUUAAACAUGCAACCAUCACAGUCACGUUGUGUAGUGAUCAUACUUAUAGCGACAAACAACGAGGGAACUGGACACUCGAUUAUACUUUUCUCAUCGAAACGAAAUCAAGGAACAUUCUUUAACUAAAUAGAUACAAUAAAACCUCAGCUGGAAUUGAAUCAAAACAUUAUGUCUGCGCUCGAGUACCAGGAGACGCUGAUGUCUUGUAUCAGUAUGACAUGACACGAAUACAAGUUUGUCAAACAAUUAUAAUAAUAAUUGCUCAGUCUUGUGCUGCUUUUGACUGAUUUCUAAAAAAGAAAAUAGAAUCAAAGGGAGUGAAAAUUGUCUUUUUAAAUGUCAGUUCGAGGUGUUGGUAAAACAGGCACGAUUAUCAUACCGGCUGUGCUCUCUGCAUGCAGACCUAACCUCAUCUGGAAGUGUCUGGGAUCCCAUUAACCAUGAACCUUCAGCAACAUAGGCAUGUCCAGUCUUCUGUAUCUGUAGUCACUGAUUAGAAAUACUUAGUUCAGAUCCCAUCUGCUAGAUGACACUGUUCGAAUAAUUUUUGAAAUUUUUUUGCCCACGUAAUACAAAAGUUGAAAACUAUUAUAGUUGUCUUUGUUACACGUUUAUAAAAAUUUUGGCUAAUAAGCAUAUAAUUGAGGGAAGGGGGAGAUGGUUGUCAAAGGAAAUAAAUAACAUUCAGCAUUACGUU